CUCGGAGGAGCUCGCACCAUUAGUCGCUUUUAUUUUCUAAUUAUUAUUUUUAUUUUUUAACAUUUCAACUUGAAGACGCUUGCGGAGAGUUGCAGUUACUUGCCGGGACAGCGUUAGCGCCGGGGCCAUGCGGUGAGGUAUUGUGAAGAAAAUAAUGCAUCUGUGACCCCUGAUGCCAACUUGUGAGCCAGGGCGAUGGAAGUCCUAGAGGGCUGCCGGCAUACUGGUCCCGUGACAGCUCCAAAUGGAUACGCCAACAGGAUUUUCCAAGCAAACAUGGAGGAAGGGAGUACUGAUGCACCGGAGGUCUGUGGUGCUGGCCACUGCACCUCCAGCGAUGCGAUCCCGAAUGAACGGGAAGAAGCACCCAGGUAUAAAAAGAUGACCAAGGGCAACCGGAUCUGGAAUUUUGUUAGACGAAGGAAAGGACUCACUACGAAUAAAGGAAGACCUCAGUCCAUGAUCCUACUGGGAGUUACCUCUGAGGUCUCAGAAUUAAAAAAAACAUCCUUCAUGGACAGGGUAAGGCUGUCAAAAAAGGGAAGAACCUCCAGGAUGCCUAAGAAUGCAGAUUUGAGAGCAUCCAGUGUCCAGGUUGCUUGUGACCCUGAGGAGGACCAGCAGGCCAGCGGGCAAAGGGCUGUCUACAGGGUUAAGAAACCGUGCGACAGUCGUAGGCCCUCGCGCCACUCGUAUGCGGGGUACAUCGAGGACUUGGAUUCUUCUUUUGAAGACAUAGAGCUGAAUAUCAGCAUUCCUGAAGUUGAUGCCAAUGAAAGUAAAUGUCUCAGGGAUAUUAGUGUCAGAUUACACAGUGAAGAUAAUGAUAAUAACUGCUACAGAAUACCAGCCAGAAAGAGCGAGUCUUUGAACUUUGAAAACUUUAAGAGUUCUGCAGUUACAGAAAUGGACAGUCCAAAGAGGUGUACUGUCCCACAGGAGAGCAGAAGAGGGAGAAGCUCUGAUGUCUGGAGCUAUCUGAAAGGAAUUUCAUUAACUAGCAAAGAUAAUUCAAAGCUUCCAGAUCAAAGGGCUGAAACCAAUUUCCAGAACUUACAAAAUAUAACCCAUCGUUCUGCUUCUUAUUUUGACUUGGAUACGAGGUGUGAGGAGAAUCUCAGCCAGCGGAAAAAAUCAAACAGCGCCACCAAAGCCACUCACUUUGGGGGUGUUGUGCGGUUCUUCACCAGCAUGGCUGAGGCAGCUCGGAGGCUGCGAGGCUCCUCAAGGGCAUUUUCACCCGACGAGAAGAGGCCUCAGCGGAGUUUCCGAAGCUGGAGGCAGGAUGCUCCCCCCCACAAAGAGGGCUUGGUUAUCGAGAAUGAGAGUGCAAAGGCCUUCUGCACGGUGGGAGCAUGUCUGCAGUCCCCAGAUUCAGGCACAUGGGACAAUGUGAGCUUUGAGAGUUUGGUGGGGAAGGAGCCCAUGCAGCAUUGCAAAACCACAGAAGUGUCACAAGACGUUGGCUCCUCUGCUCUGGGCAGUGAGAAUGGUAGAUUUAAUGAAACAUCACUUUCUCCCUUCAGGCCAGAACCAUCAGUCUCCCACCUGCUGGAGCUCGCAGAUGACUCUUUCACUGAGCUGAAUACUAAAGACACCUCUGAGGAUCUGAUUGACUUUCCACAGACAACUCUGACUAAACAUAUUGAGAAUUCGGGCAGUACUCCAGAGAAGACACAGGUCAUGGGCGAGGAUGUGCCACAUUCUCAAGGCCUUCCUGUGAAUAAUACGGAUACUGUGGACCUGGGCCAUUCUCUAGCUGCAGAUGGUGACUUUUCUGCUGUGACUGAGGCUCUGAUCCGCCCUCCCCAGACAUCGCUGACUGAACCUGAUACUGAGGAUUUGGCUGGUGCUCCAGUGGUUGCUAAAGACAUGGAUCCAUCUCCAGCCGUGGCUCAGGAGUUUGCACAGACAGACCUGGAUAUGCAGGACUUGAGAAGUCCUGAGCUGCCUUUGCGAGACUUGUCGAGAGGUGAGCUGGGGAUUCAAGACACUGGCAGUACUCUGGAGAAGACACAGGUCAUGGGCAGGGACCUGCCGCAUUCUCAAGGUCUUCCUGUGGAUAAUGUGGGUGCUGCAGACCUGGGCUGUUCUCCAGCUGCAGACGGUGACUUUUCUGCCGUGACUGAGGCUCCGAUCCACCUUCCACAGACGACCUUGACUAAACUGGACACCGAGGACAUGGCUUGUGCUCUGGUCAUUGCUAAAGCCAUGGAUCCAUCUUCAUCAGUGUCUCAGGAGCUUGCAAAGACAGAACUGGAUGUGCAGGACUUGAGACAUUCUGAGCUGCCUUUGCAAGACCUCUCUAGAGGUGAGCCAGCGUUUCAGGACUCCAGCAGUACUCUGGAGAAGACACAGGUCAUGGGAAGGGACGUUCCAUGUUCUCAAGAUCUUCCUGUGAAUAAUGUGGAUAUUGUGGACGUGGGCUGUUCUCCAGCUACAGAUGGUGACUUUUCUGCAGUGUCUGAGGCUCCGAUUCACCUUCCCCAGACGACUCUGACUAAAGAGAUUCAAGACACUGACAAUACCCUGGAGAAGACACAAGUCAUGGACAGGGACCUACCAGGCUCUGAAGAUCUUACUCUGAAUAAUCUGGAUGCUGCAGACCUGGGCUGUUUUCCAGUUGCUGAUGUUGACUUUUCUGUAGUGACUUUUUUAAAAUGUGCACCAGCUAAAGGACAAGUUUUGACGCAGACUGAUGGCCACAUGAAAAAACGUGGAACCACUUCUUUUGUAGAACAAAACUCUGUAGAGAUAACGGACACAGAGGAGCAGUUUAACUGUAGUGACGAGUGCCGUCCGUUCCAAGUGCACGUCUCUAGAAUUGUCUCCUCUGGACGGCUCAAAAACGGCAAGCUGAUGUCUCAUCCUUCUCAACCAUCCCCACAAGCACCACCCUUCAAAGUCCUCGUGGAGAGAUGUUGCUCCGCACCCCUCUCGCAGAGCACCCCGAUGGGGCUGGACCAGGUGGGAGGGCGCAUGCAGCACUUGCUCAGAAGACGCGUUGAGAACGAACAGGCUUCAAAGACUCUGAAGGUGCGCGGGAACUGCAGGAACGGUGGACGUCGAUGGAACCUCUUCAAGCCUGGAGCUGAGAAGCUGCAAAUCAGUCGGCUGAUCAGUGGUGGUUCUAUUGUAAGUGCUGAGGCAGUAUGGGAUCACGUCACCAUGGCCAACCGGGAGUUGGCGUUUAAAGCAGGAGACGUUAUCAAGGUCCUGGAUGCUUCCAACAAGGACUGGUGGUGGGGUCAGAUCGAUGAUGAAGAAGGAUGGUUUCCCGCCAGCUUCGUGAGGCUAUGGGUGAACCAAGAAGAUGGAGUGGAGGAGGGAACCAGCGACGUGCAGAAUGGCCAUUUGGAUCCAAACGCCGACUGCCUGUGUCUCGGCAGGACCGUCCAGAACCGAGACCAGAUGAGAGCCAAUGUCAUCAAUGAAAUCAUGAGCACGGAGCGCCACUACAUCAAGCACCUCAAGGACAUUUGCGAGGGUUACUUAAAGCAGUGCCGGAAGAGGAGGGAUAUGUUCAGUGAUGAACAGCUGAAAAUCAUCUUUGGUAACAUCGAAGAUAUCUACAGAUUUCAGAUGGGUUUUGUCCGGGACUUGGAGAAACAGUACAACAACGAGGACCCCCAUCUCAGUGAAAUUGGACCGUGUUUCCUUGAACACCAAGAUGGCUUCUGGAUCUAUUCCGAGUACUGUAACAAUCAUUUGGACGCGUGCAUGGAGCUUUCCAAGCUGAUGAAAGAUAGCAGGUACCAGCAUUUCUUCGAAGCGUGUCGUCUGUUGCAGCAGAUGAUUGAUAUUGCCAUAGACGGUUUCCUUCUGACGCCAGUGCAGAAGAUCUGCAAAUACCCCCUGCAGCUCGCAGAGCUACUGAAGUACACGGCGCAGGAUCACAGCGACUACAGGUAUGUGGCUGCUGCUCUCGCCGUCAUGAGGAACGUGACUCUACAGAUCAACGAGCGGAAGCGGAGACUGGAGAACAUCGACAAGAUCGCUCAGUGGCAGGCGUCCGUUCUGGACUGGGAGGGAGACGAUAUCUUGGACCGCAGCUCCGAGUUGAUCUACACAGGAGAGAUGUCCUGGAUUUACCAGCCUUAUGGACGGAACCAGCAGCGUGUUUUCUUUCUCUUUGAUCACCAGAUGGUUCUCUGCAAGAAGGAUCUGAUACGAAGAGAUAUUUUGUAUUACAAAGGUCGCAUAGACAUGGAUAAAUAUGAAGUGGUGGAUAUAGAAGAUGGGAGAGAUGAUGACUUCAAUGUCAGCAUGAAGAAUGCCUUCAAACUUCAUAACAAGGAGACUGAGGAAAUGCACUUAUUUUUUGCCAAGAAACUGGAGGAGAAGUUGCGAUGGCUUAGAGCUUUCAGAGAAGAAAGGAAGAUGGUAAAAGAAGAUGAAAAGAUAGGCUUUGAAAUUUCUGAAAAUCAAAAGCGGCAAGCGGCAAUGACAGUAAAGAAAGUCAGUAAGCAAAAAGCACCUUCCCAGCCGAGGAUCUCAAAGUGUUUUACAAACAUUAAUUAAUUUAGCUUCACAACCCUCGUGUGAGGUAGGUGGGUGCUGCCAUCCCGCUUUUCCAGAUGAGGACACUGAUCUGCUUGGGUAGAGUCGCCUCGCUCCUGCGGCUAAAACCAGGGGAGGCAAAGGCCUCGCCAUGGCCCUCCCCGCAGAAGGAAGAGCAGUUCUGCGUGCCCAGCGGGGAUCCAGAGAUGGCCAGAGCUUACGGCAACCUGCUUCGGAGCCCUGCUCCUCCCUCCUUCCUGCCCUGCGCUGGAGUUGUGGUUUCCAGCCCGUCACGCUGCUCCGAGGCUGCGGGAGGGUUAUCCCUCAGCAGUGGUGUUGCAGGGAAGGACAAACAGCAGUAGCUACGUGACUGUUCCCUGUAGUGUCACUUGGGUGGUGACAUCUCCCUUCUGUUCUGCCUCCGUUCACCCAGAGCCGCCCUUUCCACACCAUCCUUUACAACAGGUUGUGUAGGUCCCAGCUCGCUGAAGCUCCCCCUUUCCACGGGAAGGCUGCACGGGCAGUGCCCCCCCUGUUCCUGCACAGGAGCUGAGACUCACAGAUGUGGGAAUUAAUGCAUCUAGAACCUGAAAGUGUAGCCUUGCCAGUCCAUCCAUUGCUACCAGUUUGGAUUGAGCAGAAUCAGCCUUUUCUGCAUUAUGGGCAGCCGUUUUGGGCUGAAACCAGACUGGUAAAUUAAAAAUGAACCCUAUGGAAAAGUCCUACGAACAUCUGUAAAGAAGAUAAUGAGUUGCCCCUCGCACAGAGCAGCGCGGAGCGACGCGGGGCCCUGCAGCGUAGCGCUUCCUGAGGCAGCUCCGCUCCGUUCUGGCACAGGAACCGGUGCCGAGAGCUCCUCGGGGUCACCCUGCUCAGGGCCGGUCACGGGGCAUGUUGGGACAAAACCACUUUCCAAGCGCAGCUGGGAGGGAGGGUAAAAACCAUCUCGGAAACAGCAAGUGGUAAAUCUGCGAGCGGGUUGAACGACGCGGCUGCCUCUUCACCCGAGCAGACACUGCCGCGUUCGUGCCGCGUUAGGUCACGCAGGACUUUUCCAUGAGGGUGGGCAAAACUCUGCCAAUGCCAAAGUAAUGGAUCUUUUCCAAAUCUUCGACUCGUGGCGGAGCGUAGGCGGCCUCCGAGCCGCGAGGCGAGGCAGCUGCUGCGUUGCUCCGUAGAUUUGCCGUCUGUAGCACGUCUCCCUGUCCUUUGGGACCCUGGUUAUUAAGCGAUAAGAAGCGAUAGCAUGACGAAGAAAGACGAUUGACCCAAUUGCACUUUGACUGAUCUGUUUCUUUUUCCCCCCAAUCAUCGAUGCAGGUGUGAGCUACUCCAAGUCGGUUCCUCCAGCCUACCCACCACCCCAGGAUCCAUUAAAUCAGGGACAAUACAUGGUGACAGAUGGCAUAUCCCAGUCCCAGGUCUUCGAGUUCACCGAACCCAGACGCAGCCAGGCACCAUUCUGGCAAAACUUCAGCAGAGAGUGAGAAUGAGACAUCCAUAAUUUUUAUGAGAAGAUGCUUCCUAAAUAUUCAGCACUAGGAAAAAA